rnacentral:rRNA from 1 species
AUUGAACGCUGGCGGCAGGCCUAACACAUGCAAGUCGAACGGUAACAGGAAGCAGCUUGCUGCUUUGCUGACGAGUGGCGGACGGGUGAGUAAUGUCUGGGAAACUGCCCGAUGGAGGGGGAUAACUACUGGAAACGGUAGCUAAUACCGCAUAAUGUCGCAAGACCAAAGAGGGGGACCUUCGGGCCUCUUGCCAUCGGAUGUGCCCAGAUGGGAUUAGCUUGUUGGUGAGGUAAUGGCUCACCAAGGCGACGAUCCCUAGCUGGUCUGAGAGGAUGACCAGCCACACUGGAACUGAGACACGGUCCAGACUCCUACGGGAGGCAGCAGUGGGGAAUAUUGCACAAUGGGCGCAAGCCUGAUGCAGCCAUGCCGCGUGUGUGAAGAAGGCCUUCGGGUUGUAAAGCACUUUCAGCGGGGAGGAAGGCAGUACGGUUAAUAACCGUGCUGAUUGACGUUACCCGCAGAAGAAGCACCGGCUAACUCCGUGCCAGCAGCCGCGGUAAUACGGAGGGUGCAAGCGUUAAUCGGAAUUACUGGGCGUAAAGCGCACGCAGGCGGUCUGUCAAGUCGGAUGUGAAAUCCCCGGGCUCAACCUGGGAACUGCAUUCGAAACUGGCAGGCUUGAGUCUUGUAGAGGGGGGUAGAAUUCCAGGUGUAGCGGUGAAAUGCGUAGAGAUCUGGAGGAAUACCGGUGGCGAAGGCGGCCCCCUGGACAAAGACUGACGCUCAGGUGCGAAAGCGUGGGGAGCAAACAGGAUUAGAUACCCUGGUAGUCCACGCCGUAAACGAUGUCGACUUGGAGGUUGUGCCCUUGAGGCGUGGCUUCCGGAGCUAACGCGUUAAGUCGACCGCCUGGGGAGUACGGCCGCAAGGUUAAAACUCAAAUGAAUUGACGGGGGCCCGCACAAGCGGUGGAGCAUGUGGUUUAAUUCGAUGCAACGCGAAGAACCUUACCUGGUCUUGACAUCCACGGAAUUUGGCAGAGAUGCCUUAGUGCCUUCGGGAACCGUGAGACAGGUGCUGCAUGGCUGUCGUCAGCUCGUGUUGUGAAAUGUUGGGUUAAGUCCCGCAACGAGCGCAACCCUUAUCCUUUGUUG